UACGGAGGGUGCAAGCGUUAUUCGGAAUCAUUGGGCGUAAAGCGCGUGUAGGCGGCUUGGUAAGUCAGGUGUGAAAGCUCCGAGCUUAACUCGGAAAGUGCACUUGAAACUGCCAGGCUUGAGUCCGGGAGAGGAAGGUGGAAUUCCCAGUGUAGAGGUGAAAUUCGUAGAUAUUGGGAGGAACAUCGGUGGCGAAGGCGACCUUCUGGACCGUGACUGACGCUGAGACG
rnacentral:rRNA from 1 species